UACGAAGGGUGCAAGCGUUGCUCGGAAUCAUUGGGCGUAAAGCGCACGUAGGCGGCUUCGCAAGUCGGAUGUGAAAUCCCUCGGCUCAACCAAGGACGUGCAUCCGAAACUGUGAGGCUUGAGUACUGAAGAGGAUCGCGGAAUUCCCGGUGUAGAGGUGAAAUUCGUAGAUAUCGGGAGGAACACCAGUGGCGAAGGCGGCGAUCUGGGCAGAUACUGACGCUGAGGUGCGAAAGCGUGGGUAGCAAACAGG
rnacentral:rRNA from 1 species